UACGUAGGCAGCGAGCGUUGUUCGGAGUUACUGGGCGUAAAGCGUGCGUAGGCGGUUUUGUAAGUUUGGUGUGAAAUCUCCCGGCUCAACUGGGAGGGUGCGCCGAAAACUGCAAGGCUGGAGUGUGGGAGAGGUAGGCGGAAUUCCUGGUGUAGCGGUGAAAUGCGUAGAUAUCAGGAGGAACACCUGUGGUGUAGACGGCUUACUGGACCAUGACUGACGCUGAGGCACGAAAGCGUGGGAGCAAACAGG
rnacentral:rRNA from 1 species